CAAAUCUGAUCCUGAAAACUCCACUUGGGUGGUGCCCACUUGAUCUGGGCCCUCUCCAGCCUCUUUUGUCCACCUCUUUCCCACUGUGCUGAACUUUCUCUACAUCUCUAAAAACACCAUGUCCUGUUUUGCCUAAAUGCCUUUACUCAAGCUGCCUGAUCCCCAUGGUUUGAGAGGAUCCAACCCUCCUUUGCUGACACCUACUCAGCCUUUAAGCACAUCCCUUGUGAUGUCAUCCUCAUGGCCACUCCUCUGUCACCCUCCUUCAGCCAAGUUGAGUCAGAUACCUCUCCUGUGUGCUCCCAUAGCAUGCUACCUCAUCAGAACACUUACCACAAAUAAUUAUACUCAAAUUAUUCUGUAAUUGUCUGUUUACCUGAUUCUCUAUUACUUAGAUCAUCAGGCUAGCACAGUACAUAGGAAGCAAUCAAGAAAUACUGAAAGAAUGAAAGAAUGAACGAACGAACAAACGAAGAGACUUAAGCCUGUGAAAGUUGAUGAGACAACUAAAGGAGAUAAUGGAGAGGACAGAACACUGGAACAAUAUCCACCUUGAGGGGGCAGGAAGAAAGAAGCUAGUGAAGGAAACAGAAUGAACAAUCAAAGAGGGCUUCUUUGGCAUGUCUCUCUCUCAGCAACCAGCAUAAGUCUGUAUGCAUAGACUCCUGUUGACUCUGCGGAGGUUAUUCAAUCAAGGCAGGCACUGACUUCAAAACCCAUUUUAUUCUUUCACCCAAAGAGCAGAAAAAAGAGAAACCAGCAACAUAACAGUGUGACGCCAACACAAAGGUACUUCUUAAAUUUUUAAAUAAAU
rnacentral:lncRNA from 1 species